GAUGAACGCUGGCGGCGUGCCUAAUACAUGCAAGUCGAGCGAAUGGAUUAAGAGCUUGCUCUUAUGAAGUUAGCGGCGGACGGGUGAGUAACACGUGGGUAACCUGCCCAUAAGACUGGGAUAACUCCGGGAAACCGGGGCUAAUAUCGGAUAACAUUUUGAACCGCAUGGUUCGAAAUUGAAAGGCGGCUUCGGCUGUCACUUAUGGAUGGACCCGCGUCACAUUAGCUAGUUGGUGAGGUAACGGCUCACCAAGGCAACGAUGCGUAGCCGACCUGAGAGGGUGAUCGGCCACACUGGGACUGAGACACGGCCCAGACUCCUACGGGAGGCAGCAGUAGGGAAUCUUCCGCAAUGGACGAAAGUCUGACGGAGCAACGCCGCGUGAGUGAUGAAGGCUUUCGGGUCGUAAAACUCUGUUGUUAGGGAAGAACAAGUGCUAGUUGAAUAAGCUGGCACCUUGACGGUACCUAACCAGAAAGCCACGGCUAACUACGUGCCAGCAGCCGCAGUAA
rnacentral:rRNA from 1 species